UGAUGUGCAUGCCCUGUCACUC
rnacentral:siRNA from 1 species